CCCGUUUCAACAUAACCAAAAAUCUUGGAUUGGGUUUGACCGAAGGUCAAGAACAAGACUGCCAUUGCGGGUCCACGUCAAAGCAAAAUUUUUUGGUUCUUGCUCCUUCUGGAUACAAGAUUCCACAUAGAUGGCCUACUGGUAGAGACGUUAUCUGGAUCGAUGGAUCGAUAACGUUAAAAUUAACGAACAAGAGGUACUUUAUCAGGAAGUUUGACAAAGAGGAUGAUGUUGUUAGAUGAAGAUCAGAGUUCAUUUAGUUUUGCAUCUUCUAUGGUUGCUGAUAGUAUAGAUGACUAUUCCCAUCAAAUUGCCGAACUGAUCGGUUUAAGAAACUAAUCGUACCUUGUUCAAGCCGGAGUUCCGAAAACAAACGAAUGUUCAUGAAAGCGCAUGAACACAAACUGGAGGAUAGAAGACAACAGAUCCAGGACUUUAACGAUGUGGACAGCGAGUAUAAAAUCUUUCUUCUGAGCACUAGGGCUGGUGGACUGGGAAUCAAUCUCACUGCAGCGGAUACUUGCAUAUUAUAUGACAGUGACUGAGUAAACUAUUGGGGUUUUUAUGUUUACUUGACCCGUUAAACUUUUAUAAUCCAAAUUGACCUGUUUACCUCUGAUAACUUUUUAUAUAAAUGCACUCGAUACCCUUUUUAACCCUUUGUCAUUAUUAUGCGUUUGGAGCGCAGAACCCUCAAAUGGAUUUCCAGGCAAUGGAUACAUGUCACAGAAUUGGCCAAACGAAGCCCGUUCAUGUGUACAGGCUUGCAAUUGCUCUAUCUUUUGAGGGUUGGAUGCUGAAACGAGCAUUCAGUAAGCUAAGGCUUGAGCAUGUGGUGAUCGGUAAAGGUCAAUUUCAUCAAGAAAGAAUUAAAAACAAUGAAGUUUUGGAUGAAGAGGAUAUGUUGGCGCUUGUGAGAGAUGAUGACAAUCCCGAAGAUAAAAUGGUGCAGACCGAUAUAAGUGACGAGGAUGAAGAAAAAGAAAGAUGAAAUGGAAUUACUGUGGGGUUGUUGGCUGAAAAAGAAAAAAAGAUAAGUGUAGGUCCCUGUUUCGGGAUCGAUUCCGUGAUUUUCAUGAUUAUGUUCAAAGA